UACGAAGGGGGCUAGCGUUGCUCGGAAUGACUGGGCGUAAAGGGCGCGUAGGCGGAUUGUACAGUCAGACGUGAAAUUCCUGGGCUCAACCUGGGGACUGCGUUUGAGACGUAUGAUCUUGAGUGAGGAAGAGGGUUGUGGAAUUCCCAGUGUAGAGGUGAAAUUCGUAGAUACUGGGAAGAACACCGGUGGCGAAGGCGGCAACCUGGUCCUUGACUGACGCUGAGGCGCGAAAGCGUGGGGAGCAAACAGG
rnacentral:rRNA from 1 species